rnacentral:rRNA from 1 species
UUAAAUGGCCGCGGUAUUUUGACCGUGCUAAGGUAGCAUAAUCAUUAGUUUUUUAAUUGAAAGCUGGAAUGAAUGGUUGGAUGAAAAAAAAACUGUCUCUAUUAAAAUAUAGAAUUUUAUUUUUAAGUUAAAAAGCUUAAAUUAUAUUAAAAGACAAGAAGACCCUAUAGAGUUUAAUAAAAAAUAAUUAGUUUUUAUGAUUAGGAUUUUUUAUAGAGAUAGUUUAUUUAUUUAAUUGGGGUGAUUGAAAAAUUUAAUUAACUUUUUUUAUUAAUAUAUAUAUUUAAAUAAGUAUUUGAUCCAUUUAUUUUGAUUAUAAGAUUAAAUUACCUUAGGGAUAACAGCGUAAUUUUACUAGAGAGUU